GCAGAGUACAUCUUGCUGUAAAU
rnacentral:miRNA from 14 species